AGUGUUUUUGCCUUCAAAUAAUAGAUUUUCUGCUUACUUCAUACAUACUUUAACUAGGAUUUCUGGAAUUUUAACUAUUCAACGGAUUCAUGAUUCCCUUCAAGGAUUAGGAUUCCUUAAGCCUGGAUAAAAAUAGCACAUUGAAUUUAAAUGGAGCAUAUGUACGCAUCCAUUCGAGUGCACCAAUAUUAAGGAACCCCAUCCUUCCCACCUUGAUUAUUACACGUUGGGGAGCGCCCACAAAUUAUGUCUGGCGAGAGAGAGAAGGGGGAUGAAAGGAUCCAGUGAUAUCGUGCCUAUGUAAAUAAUUAUGUGACAGAUGCUAAUAAGAGAGAGGUGGGUCUAAAAAUUGGGAUUUUUGCGUGACACAACUUAUGGAUAUCCACUUGGCACUGGUUUUGUGAAGGUUCUAAACUGCAUAAACUCAAACUAGUAUCGCCUCAUGACGUGAUUUAUGUACAUAUGGAUAGAUAUGUAUUUCAGAAUUAGACCCUUUCUUGUGUUCAUUUUUUAUGAAGACAAUGGUCAAAAUUAUGUGUAAAAUACAAGCCAUCAGUAUUACUGAAACGAAAGCUAAAUAUGAACUACCGACUUUUUAUGUUUAGUUUUUGUCUAUACGAAUUUAAAAAAUGAUUUCAGUCGGACGUUUACUAACCUGCUGAAGGUUGGUCGAUUGGCGUAUGCUUGAAAGAGUUGAUGUGUUCUCGACAAAGGAAUAUUUUGUGUAGAUGACUGAAUUAUCAGUUGAAUAGCGAAGAUAGACGAAAGAAGGAAAUAAAUAAGGAAGCAGCUGAAGAUGUCGAGCACCAUCCCGUUUGAUCAACACGUUCCUAAAUUUUAUCCAGUCGCUAGGGGUACUUUGGAAACAGGGAGGCAGAGUCGACCUGGCCAUGGAGCUAAGGGCAGCCCGAUCUACAAAAAGUUGAUCAAGGUGGUCGUAUUAAUUAGUGUGGUCAUCCUACUCCUCCCUCUUGAACAGCAGUGCAACUGUAAUGAGGAAUCUAUAAUUCCGAUGUUCCUGAGAGUCACCGAGAUGCAGCAACUGGCUGCGGCUUACACAAUGGGUUUCCUUAUGAGAUGGAUACUUUAACCUGAUUUUUAAAUCCAUAUUUACCAAAAUUUUGUUACCGGAUAUUAUCCGGCGGAUAAUAUUUAUCACCGCACCGAUAAUAAAUGAUUAUAACCCGUA